GUGCACGCUGGCGGUAGGCCUAACACAUGCAAGUCGAACGGCAGCACAGUAAGAGCUUGCUCUUACGGGUGGCGAGUGGCGGACGGGUGAGGAAUACAUCGGAAUCUACUUUUUCGUGGGGGAUAACGUAGGGAAACUUACGCUAAUACCGCAUACGACCUACGGGUGAAAGCAGGGGAUCUUCGGACCUUGCGCGAUUGAAUGAGCCGAUGUCGGAUUAGCUAGUUGGCGGGGUAAAGGCCCACCAAGGCGACGAUCCGUAGCUGGUCUGAGAGGAUGAUCAGCCACACUGGAACUGAGACACGGUCCAGACUCCUACGGGAGGCAGCAGUGGGGAAUAUUGGACAAUGAGCGCAAGCCUGAUCCAGCCAUACCGCGUGGGUGAAGAAGGCCUUCGGGUUGUAAAGCCCUUUUGUUGGGAAAGAAAAGCAGCAGGUUAAUACCCCGCUGUUCUGACGGUACCCAAAGAAUAAGCACCGGCUAACUUCGUG
rnacentral:rRNA from 1 species